rnacentral:lncRNA from 1 species
GAAGGACGGGGGAGGACCGCUGCUUCCGGCGCCGUAACUGCUGCCAUCUUCUCCGCGCUAUGGCUGCGUUCGGCCGUCAGGGAAAUUAAAGAGGGUGCUUUACUGUUGCCCUGAAAUUUUCACCAUGCGCCAGCAGGACAUUAACGACACUGUCAGGCUUCUCAAGGAGAAGUGCCUUUUCACGGUACAGCAAGUCACCAAGAUUUUGCACAGUUGCCCCUCUGUUCUUCGAGAGGACCUGGGUCAACUGGAAUACAAGUUUCAGCCUCGUCUUACAGCGUGACUGCAAAGAAAAAGACUUUUGUUUUGCAAAAGAAAAGCAGCUCGGUGACUCCGUCCACAUCGCCACAGUUGAGUCAGAUGGCAGUGGCAGUCCUUUGCCAGUGGAAGGAGUUCCUGCUAAGGGGAGGUGCAGGAGGACUAAUUUAUUAUUGUGCAACUGCCAGUCCUGCGCAUUCCAGCUACGCUAAGCGCCCUGCCCAGGCACGUAACAAAACAUAGACCUGUUUUGAAGUGGCUUGUUACCCAAGGGUGCCUCACUCAUCUGCGCCACCAGGAAGAUGAACUGUGAGGGCU